ACGGAGGUUGCAAGCGUUGUUCGGAAUUACUGGGCGUAAAGGGCGUGUAGGCGGCACGGUAAGUCAACCGUGAAAGCUCCCGGCUAAACUGGGAGAGGUCGGAUGAGACUGCCGAGCUAGAGGACGGUAGAGGGGUGUGGAAUUCCGGGUGUAGUGGUGAAAUGCGUAGAGAUCCGGAGGAACACCAGAGGCGAAGGCGACACCCUGGGCCGUACCUGACGCUAAGACGCGACAGCACGGGGAGCGAACGG
rnacentral:rRNA from 1 species